GGAAAACAGCCAGCGUUUGUUUUAUUUGGUAUGUUACUCUUUGCAAGCUAUAUCAUAAGACACACGCGGCUAUUUUCC
rnacentral:pre_miRNA from 1 species